AUGAACGCUAGCUACAGGCUUAACACAUGCAAGUCGAGGGGCAGCAUGAACUUAGCUUGCUAAGUUUGAUGGCGACCGGCGCACGGGUGAGUAACACGUAUCCAACCUGCCGAUGACUCGGGGAUAGCCUUUCGAAAGAAAGAUUAAUACCCGAUGGCAUAGUUCUUCCGCAUGGUAGAACUAUUAAAGAAUUUCGGUCAUCGAUGGGGAUGCGUUCCAUUAGGUUGUUGGCGGGGUAACGGCCCACCAAGCCUUCGAUGGAUAGGGGUUCUGAGAGGAAGGUCCCCCACAUUGGAACUGAGACACGGUCCAAACUCCUACGGGAGGCAGCAGUGAGGAAUAUUGGUCAAUGGACGAGAGUCUGAACCAGCCAAGUAGCGUGAAGGAUGACUGCCCUAUGGGUUGUAAACUUCUUUUAUACGGGAAUAAAGUGAGGCACGUGUGCCUUUUUGUAUGUACCGUAUGAAUAAGGAUCGGCUAACUCCGUGCCAGCAGCCGCGGUAAUACGGAGGAUCCGAGCGUUAUCCGGAUUUAUUGGGUUUAAAGGGAGCGUAGGCGGACGCUUAAGUCAGUUGUGAAAGUUUGCGGCUCAACCGUAAAAUUGCAGUUGAUACUGGGUGUCUUGAGUACAGUAGAGGCAGGCGGAAUUCGUGGUGUAGCGGUGAAAUGCUUAGAUAUCACGAAGAACUCCGAUUGCGAAGGCAGCUUGCUGGACUGUAACUGACGCUGAUGCUCGAAAGUGUGGGUAUCAAACAGGAUUAGAUACCCUGGUAGUCCACACAGUAAACGAUGAAUACUCGCUGUUUGCGAUAUACAGUAAGCGGCCAAGCGAAAGCGUUAAGUAUUCCACCUGGGGAGUACGCCGGCAACGGUGAAACUCAAAGGAAUUGACGGGGGCCCGCACAAGCAGUGGAGUAUGUGGUUUAAUUCGAAGCAACGCGAAGAACCUUACCAGGGCUUGACAUAUAAAGUGAUAUUUAAGAGAUUAAAUAGCUCUUCGGAGACUUUAUACAGGUGGUGCAUGGUUGUCGUCAGCUCGUGCCGUGAGGUGUCGGCUUAAGUGCCAUAACGAGCGCAACCCUUAUCGAUAGUUACCAUCAGGUUAUGCUGGGGACUCUGUCGAGACUGCCGUCGUAAGAUGUGAGGAAGGUGGGGAUGACGUCAAAUCAGCACGGCCCUUACGUCCGGGGCUACACACGUGUUACAAUGGGGGGUACAGAAGGCAGCUACACGGCGACGUGAUGCUAAUCCCAAAAGCCUCUCUCAGUUCGGAUUGGAGUCUGCAACCCGACUCCAUGAAGCUGGAUUCGCUAGUAAUCGCGCAUCAGCCACGGCGCGGUGAAUACGUUCCCGGGCCUUGUACACACCGCCCGUCAAGCCAUGAAAGCCGGGGGUACCUGAAGUGCGUAACCGCAAGGAGCGCCCUAGGGUAAAACUGGUGAUUGGGGCU
rnacentral:rRNA from 1 species